CAGGACCUAAGGCGGCGUCCCAGCCAG
rnacentral:sRNA from 1 species